ACAAUCAUAGAAGUUCAUCCACUCCCUUGGUUUACAAACUACAAACUCUCCAUCUUCAUCUUCAACUUCAUCUAUGUCUAGCUACAUGUAAGGAUUAGAUGAACUAACUAUACUAAGUUUGUGGCGACCCCACUUCCCCCUAAGGCGAACCAAAGGGUUGGCGGGCCGUCUGCCCAGCUCUCGCCAGGACUCACGCAAGCAUUCUAACCCAAAACCUUCCGACGAUUAACCUAAGCUAUUACAAAAAUGAUUCUUCCGAAACAAAUCGAUUUCUAUCACCACAUUAACUU
rnacentral:lncRNA from 1 species